UUUGAUCCUGGCUCAGGAUGAACGCUGGCGGCGUGCUUAACACAUGCAAGUCGAACGAAGCACCUGAGAAUGAUUCUUCGGAUGAAGUCUCUUGUGACUGAGUGGCGGACGGGUGAGUAACGCGUGGGUAACCUGCCUCACACAGGGGGAUAACAGUUGGAAACGACCGCUAAUACCGCAUAACCCGCUGGUGCCGCAUGGCACUGACGGAAAAGAUUUAUCGGUGUGAGAUGGACCCGCGUCUGAUUAGCCAGUUGGCAGGGUAACGGCCUACCAAAGCGACGAUCAGUAGCCGGCCUGAGAGGGUGAACGGCCACAUUGGGACUGAGACACGGCCCAGACUCCUGCGGGAGGCAGCAGUGGGGAAUAUUGCACAAUGGGGGAAACCCUGAUGCAGCGACGCCGCGUGAGUGAAGAAGUAUUUCGGUAUGUAAAGCUCUAUCAGCAGGGAAGAAAAUGACGGUACCGGAUUAAGAAGCCCCGGCUAACUACGUG
rnacentral:rRNA from 1 species